AAGUCGUAACAAGGUUUCCGUAGGUGAACCUGCGGAAGGAUCAUUAACACGUAUCCAAACGUUCAUCCUGCUCUUGUGACCUCUGGCUACGUGCGAACAUUGGAACAGUUACAAUCGAGCGGUAGUUCUAUAGGCAAUGUUUCCCCAAGCAGUCAGUGUCGGAAAGUGUCAUUGAUUGUGCAAGGAUAGCGCUUCUACGAUUCCUGUAGACCGUACACUCGGGCAGGAGCUUUGCCAAAGGGUCCCCAUGCCCCCUAAUAACCCCACAGUUUAAUGUGAAGCUCAAUGUAAUACAUUGGGUAAAAAAACCGAACAACUGUUAACAAUGGAUAUCUUGGUUCUC
rnacentral:misc_RNA from 1 species